AGUGAACGCUGGCGGUAGGCCUAACACAUGCAAGUCGAACGGCAGCACAGUAAGAGCUUGCUCUUACGGGUGGCGAGUGGCGGACGGGUGAGGAAUACAUCGGAAUCUACUUUUUCGUGGGGGAUAACGUAGGGAAACUUACGCUAAUACCGCAUACGACCUACGGGUGAAAGCAGGGGAUCUUCGGACCUUGCGCGAUUGAAUGAGCCGAUGUCGGCUUAGCUAGUUGGCGGGGUAAAGGCCCACCAAGGCGACGAUCCGUAGCUGGUCUGAGAGGAUGAUCAGCCACACUGGAACUGAGACACGGUCCAGACUCCUACGGGAGGCAGCAGUGGGGAAUAUUGGACAAUGGGCGCAAGCCUGAUCCAGCCAUACCGCGGGGGUGAAGAAGGCCUUCGGGUUGUAAAGCCCUUUUGUUGGGAAAGAAAAGCAGCAGGUUAAUACCCCGCUGUUCUGACGGUACCCAAAGAAUAAGCACCGGCUAACUUCGUG
rnacentral:rRNA from 1 species